rnacentral:rRNA from 1 species
AGUGAACGCUGGCGGUAGGCCUAACACAUGCAAGUCGAACGGCAGCACAGUAAGGGCUUGCUCUUACGGGUGGCGAGUGGCGGACGGGUGAGGAAUACAUCGGAAUCUACUUUUUCGUGGGGGAUAACGUAGGGAAACUUACGCUAAUACCGCAUACGACCUACGGGUGAAAGCAGGGGAUCUUCGGACCUUGCGCGAUUGAAUGAGCCGAUGUCGGAUUAGCUAGUUGGCGGGGUAAAGGCCCACCAAGGCGACGAUCCGUAGCUGGUCUGAGUGGAUGAUCAGCCACACUGGAACUGAGACACGGUCCAGACUCCUACGGGAGGCAGCAGUGGGGAAUAUUGGACAAUGGGCGCAAGCCUGAUCCAGCCAUACCGCGUGGGUGAAGAAGGCCUUCGGGUUGUAAAGCCCUUUUGUUGGGAAAGAAAAGCAGCAGGUUAAUACCCCGCUGUUCUGACGGUACCCAAAGAAUAAGCACCGGCUAACUUCGUG